CCCAAAUUCCAGUUACUCUUUUGGUCUUUCCAUCGUCUUCCUUAGCCGGCGACUUGCGCGCAGGUUUUCCUCCCUUCCUCGGCGACUUGAGGAGUGUCCAGGUUUCCCCUCCCUCCCUCCCCUCUUUCUUUCUGGCCCUGGAUUCGUUUUCGUCGCGUCUUACACGGCUCGCAUCUGAAUACCGAUGGGUCCGAAAUUUUUGCAGUAAAUCGAUUGUUCCAAAAUCGUAUUGUCAGAUAGUGUACUCAGAUCGACUGGUAUUUUGGGAGCGGCGGCCCUCAGAUUAGGUUUUGCACCCAACGUUGAGUACUGGAGUAGUUGUUUGAGAUGGGCUUCUCCUAGCAAUUACCAUUGUACUGUAUUCUUCAGGGUCAGUAAAGAAAAACUACUAGUGUUAUUAAUGUGCACUCUCCUGCUAGCAUGCUCUGAUGCACUACGGGCAUUUGACCCUGCUCAAAGAAAAGUUCAUCCUAAUGGAUUGGAUUGGAUUGGAUGUUAAUCAAACUACCGGCAACAAAUGUUCAGAUGAACCAAUUAGUUAUGCAAAAAGUUGAUUAUUUAGAAUAAUACUCCGUGCUAAGGCAAGCCUCCUUUUUUGCUGGGCUUUUCAUGAUAACAUGAUUAUUGUAGAUCUAGCAAUUUUACUCCGGUGAUGAAAACAAGUGCCCCCGUGGUUUGUGGGCAGGGACCAAGGAUUGAUCGUCGUUCCAUAAAACCUUUUAAGAUGACAAGAUCCAAGGAUAUUCAGCUUCACCAUCUACCUACAGAUGUACUGCAUCGUAUACUAUCACAAUUGACAAUGAAAGAAGCCAUGCGAAUGAGCAUACUAUCUAAGAAGUGGAGAAGGCUUUGGAAAUGCUACCCAAAGUUAGUAUUCACCAGAGCCAUGAUGUGUCGCAGUAACGCCACGACAGGCCCUGCAAAACCCUUGCGGACAAGGUUUAUCAGGGGGGUCAACAGCAUCCAGCGACAGCUCAAGUCAUCCAACCUGAAUAAGUUUGUGGUCAAGUUUGCGCUUCGCAAAAGGCACACACCUCACAUUGAUAGAUGGGUCAAUUUCUGUGCCUCGUCGAUGGCGAAGCAUGUUGUUCUCGAUUUAUGUCCAGGGCCGAAAGGCAGUACCGACACAGAUGACAAGUACAGUUUCCCGCUGCAUCUUCUCGGCGCCUCGGGUGGUUCUUGCGUGAAGUCUCUUAGUCUGGGGUUCGUCUAUUUAGCACUGCCUCCUGAUCACCGUGGAUUUGCAAACCUUAAGAAGCUCUCUCUGGAAAUAGUUCAUGUCACAGGGGAUCUCGGGCGCCUGCUCCCAAAAUGCGCUGUUCUUGAGUGGCUAAGCCUCACCAGGUGUAGACUGGACGAGCUAAGCAUAGGUGAGGAACUGAGCAGGCUCCGUUGUUUGCAGGUCAAGUACUGUAUGCUGCAGAAGCUGCAUGUCCGAGCUCCAAACCUCGCCAUGUUUGUGUUCGCUGGUCGUGUGAUACCUAUAUUGCUUGGUGAAUCUGUGAAGAUUUCAGAGGCGACGGUCGACUUGGUCACAUCCUCGGACUGCUUCAAUUACGUCUUCACUGAUCUUGUCGAUGCUCUUUCGCAUGUUCCGUCCCUCUCCAUAGGCUUCCGAAUUGAAACCAAGGUGAUAAAUUUUGUGAAAAAUCGGACCAUGCUCACAAAUCUGAGACGUCUGGUCCUGAAAAUCGAUAUUGUUGGGUCGCCGGAAGUCACUGGUGGGAUUCUUCGUUUGGCCUAUCUGUUGGAGUUAGCCCCUGCUUUGGAAGAGUUAGUACUCCAUAUGCAUUGUUUUGACUCGGCAAUCUAUGGUGAACCAAGAGAAGAUGCCUACCAGCCACAUCCUCACCGUCAUCUCAAGACUAUCAAAAUGACGGGGUUCUAUGGAUUACUUGGUCAGGUUGAGCUAGCACUCUACCUUCUUCGGAAUGCGACUUCUCUCGAGCGUAUGAUCAUAGAUCCGGUGGUGAGGAAUAAUUGGCCUAUUCCACCCAUGGGUGGAGCAAAGCAAGAUAUAGACCGGGGCACGUCGAUUGCCCUCAAUAAACUUUCGAGGCAAGAGUUCAGAAAGGUCCUUGACAUUCUGUAUUAAGGGGAUAUGAAACUAUGUUGCAGGUGUAUUCUAGAUUAUUUGUUUUAAGGAAGGAGAGAUGCCAAUAGAUGUUUUUUUUAAAGGAGAUGCCAAUAGAUGUUUGUUUGAAGGAAGGAGCUCAGGAAAUGCCGUCCUUACCAUCUGUCAGAGAAAUAGGAAACUGAAUCACAGCUGUCUAUCUUGUGUUUAUUAGACUAGAUGGUAGGAGGGAUACUUGCUAAUGCUAAGCCAUGGACAAAGUCUGCAUGAUGUCAUCAUCAUAUAAGUAAUAAGGGCAUCUCCAACGUUGGUCCUUGGACACCGGUGCCGG
rnacentral:rRNA from 1 species